rnacentral:lncRNA from 1 species
GGAAGUCCAACUCCCUGCUCUCUGGCCUGACUUGGGCUGCAAAAGGGGUUUGGAGUGGUCAGGGGCCUGGGAACCAGGAGCUCAGGCUUUGGUCUCCGGAGAGAUGAAAAGGAUGCUGUUGUUUGAUUUAUCUUUCUUGAGAUCAUUAAGCUUGGGAUGCCUGAGCUGAUCCCAGUGGGGCAGAUUUUUCAGGAUAAUGGGAGGCUCGCUCAGGGUUCUGGCAAAGCUUUACACACACCCUUUCUACACCCCCCCUUCCCUACCACCAUCCCCAGAAGCCCCUUUCCUUUCCUAAAAUUGAGCUAGGACCCAAUUCUGAGUUUUUCUCGCCCAUUUCUUUGUCUCUUGUAGGAUUUUGCGGAGCCACUCGACAGAUGAGAAUCUCAUUUCGAGGCUCCUCAGAAGGCGAACUGCACCCCCUCCCUCAAGCCUCUUCUCCAGUCUCAUGGUUUUCAUGACCACUAGGGGAAGACGACGAAUUCCAAGGGGCGCUUGCAGGCAAUGGGCUUUGUCUGAUAUGUCCAUCACUGUCUCCCAGUGCUUAGCACAGAAGCCGGACCGCGAGGGGCUUAGGAAACAGCUGCUGACUGGCCAUCAGAACCGGGAUUAGAGGCCCUCCCUUCGAGACCAUUGGUUUCUAGGCUGCAGCUGCUCCUUGACGUCUUUGACUUUCCACGCCGCCUUGCACAUAGUAGGUGCCCGUUAAGUGGCUCCUUAGAGAUCAGUCCUCCAUUGCACAUGACGCCAUGUGGGAAGGAAGGACUGCAGAGCCAGGCUCCUAGGUGAUUUCUAGGAACAGAAGAGGGACCCCCACCUCCCCCCGCCCCCUGCAGCGUGGCUGAGGGGAAAUCUAGAGUUUGAGAGGCAGGAUAACCAAAGGAGUCCCUCAGGGCUCCUUCUAAUCCUGGAGUCGAUGGUCCACAGAAGCAGGAAGGACUUUGAUCCAGAAUGUACCAGUCAGCUCCAGAGCAACGGUGCCCUUGGUGCCAGCUGGAGGAGACCAGACCGUGUUCUCCAGGGGAGCUGGGCUAGCACACUGAUUGGCUAGAGAUCAUUCCCAUGAGCAUUGCUAAAGUUGGGGCAAACUCGAUUUUAAGCUAAGUGGAAAUAUUUUUAUUUGAGUUAAUGUACAUUGGAUCUAGUAAACACACUGAGUAUAUUACGACGCGCUCUGGAAAUGUGCAGUCCGAUCAGCAAACAGAUUAGUUUUAAGUGAAAAGACACUGGCAGACGCUUAAAUUCAUUGACUUGUUGAGAACGUCUAGAUUUGGAUAUAAAUGCACUGGAACGCUAGAUCAGUUUGGUGUCUCAGCCCAUCCGCACGGAGAAGCUAUUGAUUUUAGUUGAUAUGCAUUGAUUCCCAGAAAACAGGACGGCUUUUGAAAAUGAACUUCCAGUAAUUUCAGGGAGAAGCCGGUGCGUUCGUCUCCACGCGAGGCUGGCUUGUUUUGUUAAACGUGUCUCUACGCCUCGAAGGAACGGAGCAGCAGACAAAUAUCUUCGUAUGAAUUAAAAU